CUAUACAUUUCUUUCUAGGACUCCCACUACAACUAAAAACUGAUAAUGGACCUGCUUAUACUUGCAAUUGUUUUAACUUUUUUUUUUGAAGUUUAUGGAAUAUUAAUCAUGUUACUGAGUUCCCUUACAAUUGACAGUGUCAAACUAUUGUAAAACAACACAAUCAAAGACUUAAAUUACAAAUUUGAAUUCCCACAUCCUAUGCCUAUACAUUUAGCUAUGCUAACUUUAAAUUUUUUUCACUUUAAAAGAUAGUGGCUUUUUCUGCUCCCAAAAACAUUUUAUCCAAAGAAGACACUACCUAAAGUGUGUGUGUGUGCGUGCGUGCGUGCGUGCGUGCGUGCGUGCGUGUGUGUGUGUGUGUGUGUGUGUUUAAAAAACCUUUAAAACUAAUCAAUGGAAAGUGCCCGAUGUCCUACCAUCGAGGCGAGGUUAUGCUUAUGUCUUACAGAAAAGUAAAUGAAGUCCCAGAUGGCUACUGCUCUGUGACACUUUGGACAAGGACAGCAUCCCAGAGACCACCAGAUCAGCAAGGGGGUCUAAGCUAGAUUACAAGCCCAUCAAGAGGGGACGUCCCAAGAGGAGGAGGAAGCCAGUAUCUCGGGGAGACUUUAACUGGUCAAGCCAAGACCUUGGGGAAACAACAAGGACAUAAUUCUGCUGACCCCCAAAUGAUGGUGUUACGUUUACUGACUGUAUUACAUGUUGAUUCUCAGCCUGUCAGUGCAGAAUCCAAAUGCCUUAUGUCAGGGGGGAUAAAGGGCGCACCUGUAAUAGGACAAAGUAUGAAGUUGUCUUGCUGUGCUAAUAAUCAUUUUGAUCCUCUGGGACCGACCAGUUGUCUGGACAAAAGAUAGUAUACAAAUAUUUAGACACAAGAAUGGGUGGCAUUAUGGGUAGACUAACUGAGCAGUUCAAAUGUAAUAAUACAGGUUUUAGGGGUUGGGGAUUUAGCUCAGUGGUAGAGCGCUUGCCUAGGAAGCGCAAGGCCCUGGGUUCGGUCCCCAGCUCCGAAAAAAAGAACCAAAAAAAAAAAAUAAUACAGGUUUUAGCUGAAGGCAGUACUCUAGAAAGCUUUGAUGGUGAAAGGAAUAUGUGAUAUAUUGCUUACUAAACUUGAACUGACACCAGGUACUGAGUAGUGUGGAAUCGGACUGCCUUCUUGUCUCCUGUGAAUCAUUAGUCUGUUGGCCUUGGUGGAGGAAAUAUGCCCCUGAAGGAGGGCUUUGAGAGUUAAAAGCCUCGCCUGGCUUCCCGAUUAGUUCCUGCUCUAUACUUGAUCUUCAAGGUGUGAUUUCUCAGUUUCAUAUCCCUGCCACCAUGCCUGCUGUGUGCUCUCAUCCUUCCUGCCGUAAUGGACUCAUCUCUGUUCUGGAACCACGAGCCAAAAUAAACACUUGUCUUCCUUAA
rnacentral:lncRNA from 1 species